GUGUCCUGGGUCUUCCCCUGAGCCUCCUCCCGGGGGUCGUGCCCGGAACACCUCACCAGGGAGGCGUUACCCUCCCUGGUGAGGGUAAUCACCAGGGAGGUUUUUACCUGCUUCUGGACCAAUUUUGCACAUGUCCUGACAUUCACCAAAUAAAUGGAGGAUAAAAGAAG